GGCGUUUGCGUCAGUAGAUUUGAGGAAGUGAUUUGGCCCGGUGGUUGAGAAACCAAACAACACCUCGGAUUGAGAGCGAGCCGUAAAAGAAAGGCCGGGAAUCAACGCGGCGUUAAGGCCUUUCCUCUGCGCUAGGUUGUGGGGGGAAAUCUGAGCCACAUAAACUUCAGACGUUUCAAGAAAGGCUGGUGCUGGAUGUUAAGAUGCAGCAUGUUCGUUGCAUUGCUGUCUAAUAUCCGCAAAGCAUGCCAAUAAACCUCCCCAGAACACAGAAGGAAAACAGUCAUCAGGGCAUAACCAUGGUCACAAGUCCUUCAAACCACCAUUAACAAUGCAGGUCAAACCCGGGAAAGUCACUCCCUUCCCAAGUCAACCCACAGGAGAAAGCACAGCCACUCUUAGGCUGGCUUCCAGUAAUCACCAGGCCAGUUUUAAGCCCUAAGCCUGUCCCCAAAAGACACAUGUCUUGAUGGGGACUUAUGGGGGCAUUCUGUCCACCAGAGACUUCCAACUCCCGCUGCACACUCUCCAACCUCUGGCCGGACCGAACUUCAAAGCCCCAUGAAAGGACCUUGGGCUUGACCCAAAAGGCCCCGCUUUACUGAGAACCAAAGGAAAACGUGGACGCUGUGUUCGCACGGACAUAAUGGCCGCUUUGAGACCAAAGAAAACCGCAGCAUCCGGGAAUUGUGUGCAAGGGGCCCAGACGAAAUGGGCAAACCUUUGCCUGCGGCCCGCCCAUUGCACCACCGCCUUAUAUUGGUCAACAAUACAACAUAAAAGUGGACAUCUUGGUAUCUGUAAAAUACGGACUGCAACAUCCCGUUCAUUUCAAGAUGAACCAGUUGUUCGAAGCAAGAGCCUCGGAGACUGCAAGGGAUUAAGCACAUUCGUAUGACAGCUCAAGCAGGCACCACAAGUAGCGUUGCCGCUGGCGUCGUUAAACCCCGCCGGCCCACACGUUGGCGGGCCGACAUACCCUGCGGAAGUAGCCGCGUUCCACAGCAGUUCUGAGAACUCUCUUGAGGUCGACUCGCCGACUUCUAGUCAGGCAUAAGUACGGGCGUCCCCGGUGUCCAAGGUGCAACCUGACAGCAGGAGUUAACAGCUGGGCUCGGCUCGCCCGUGAUGAACACAGAUGAGCAAGCUCGGGGUAUAUUUAACAGGCUUGCAUUCUUCCUUCACAUCCUUGAAGAAAGAAGGAUCCACAACAACGGCCAGAGCGCAUCCUCCUCAACCGGGGAUUAAUCUGUCGCGCACGCAGCACGGCUGACUCACAAAGAGAACCGUAAUAGCUUUUUAAUAAAACUGGGCCCCUCUCAAGCCCUGCGCGGGCGCACCCGCUCUCUGUUUGAGCCCUGGUUCGUAUAAAACGGAUAUAAAUAAAUUAAAACGUAGAUGUUGACAGAGUUGUACAGUUUGAUGCUCAUUGAAGAUAAUUGAGGAC
ensembl:lncRNA